ACUAUUGGACUGAAAAACCCCUCUUCCACACUCUCCCCCCUCCCAAUUCGAACAAAAACCCUCGCCCAUCUCAAAAACCCUAGACGACGCGCUCGAUCCUCUCGAUGAGCCCACGCAAUCGAGCGCGGGAUGGCUCGAGCUCUCCUCGGUGGGCGCCAUUUCCUUCGUAGCGUUCGACCUCGUUUGAUCACAUCUUCGGCCUCUCAAAGGUUGGGAGUAUCAAUGUCGGCGCCAUCGGUUGAGAUUUGUAGUAGAACGUGUUGUGUUCCCACCAUUCAAGGAUCACGAACCUAUGCUCGCGAGCGCUCACGUUAUGACUUGUUUCGUAAAGAAAGACCCGGCGAUGAAGAAUUUAGAAAAGCUUGGGCAGAGAAUGUCGAUGAGGAGGACUGCUUAUGGACUGGCAGUGAGGAAGAUGAAGAAGAUAAGGGUGCCAAUCGUACUGAUUUAGAGAGGGAGAUUAAGAAAGUGAAAAAGCAAGCCAAAGAAAAUGCAAACCUAAUUGAUGCCGACGACAGCGAUGAGCUGAGGAGUAUAUGCUCCGAGAGUGAUGAAGAGAAAGCUCUAUGGAGUGGUAGUGAAUGUGAUGAUGAUGAUGACAUACCUACCGAGGCACACCCUAAUGAGCGAAGCGAUCCGUAUAUAGAUAAAAUAUUUGAAUUUGAGGAGACACCAAAAUACCGCACCAUUUCGGAGUUGUUAAAAGCUGAAAAGGAACCCCCUGAGCUCUCUCCAGGAAAGCUAGCUAGAAAGCUUGCAGUGGAAAAUGCACUUAAAAAGUUAAAGAAAGGGCCUGAUGGGCGUUACAUAAAUGUAUUUGAUGUAAUGACUGAUUUAGAUAUUUUGAUUGGUGCUUUUGAGAAUAUUGUAUCGGGACCAGAAUAUGCAGAGCUAAGAGAGGGUGGACCAAAAAAGCUUAAUAUACAGUUUUUUAAGGAUAUCCAGGCGCGCAUGAGAGAUCCGAAUUUCAAAUUUUCGCCUGAGAUGAAGCUAAAGCCGAAGAGUAAAUUUGUUUCGAGGAAAAAGUGGCAGAAAGCUCAAUCUAGGCGGAGAAAAAAUGAGAGGCGUUAAUAGGAGGUGCCAGAAAAAAAAUUACACUUACCCGCAGUCAUUUUCCUGCUGGGUUGAUACCUUCAUCGAGACCGACACGGCGACAAGACCACAAAUUUUUCUGUAGAAUUAAAGCAGAAGCAAAAGUGGGCCAAACAGAUGUAGAUGAGCUGACCAGAGAUAAGAAAGGUGAGGGGAAGUAUGUGUUUGCUGUGUAGCAUCAUAUCCAACUAGGUAUAGCAUAUUUUCUUUUCAAAAUUAAAGACAGUGGUAUCUUGAUCUCAUCAUGGUUUCCCUCCCAAUCUACCAUUCCAUGCCCCUGGAACUGGAAUUCAUUUACCCCACAUAGUUCACCUACUUCUGGACUAAUGGAUCUGCACCAUGCCCUAAGUUGACCAUCUUUGCAUCACACUGCAUUUAAAUAAUAUCAUGUUGCAGGUCUGCAUGUUGCAUCUUAUUUAAAGCAUUUCCACUACCUCACACAUUAUCCUUUCCCAAUGUAAAGUUCUAUUAAACAAAACCCCAAUCUUCUGGUGCAUCCACUCCUCUUUGUCAAAUUUUUAGCUAGAAAAUUAUCUUGGUAAUUGUGUAGUCUAAGAUGGGUACUAAACAUUAAUCAUAUCCACUUUCAUUAAAUUAUACAUUGUCCACAUGGGAGAGGUGGCCUGCUAUUGCUACUAUCCUUGCAUGCAUGGGACAAAAUUGUGCCAGUGUGAUAGUAAGUAACCCACUGUUGAGUGUUGACUAAGGACCCUUUUGUCCCAGAUGAGCUUUUUCAGAAAGAGAAAAUUUUCAUUUAGGUCCUUAAAUUUUUUUAUUUUAAUUUAAAUUUUUAAUUAUUGAAAAAACUUUAUUCUAAUCCUUAAACCAUAUUUACUAUUGCUAUUGAGAGUAAAUUAUUUAGCAUUGCUGCACAUACACUCCAAAAAGGGUAUAUGAUGUACAGCUCAUUCAUCCUACGAUGAGAAUUAUUUUGCUAGUCACAUCGAUAUGAUUAGUAAAAAUUAUUUCGUUUUUAGAUGGAUAAGGUGUAUAUCAUACACCCCCUUUUGGGGUGUAUAAAAUGCUUUUUUCUAAAUUAUUGCCUACACUGAGUAUAUUUAUAUAUUUAUACAUUAUGUAUCAUCAUGUCUUUCAUUUCAUCUUAUAUUUCAAUUCUAUUCUGCAGUGAAUGGUAUUUCUUUUACUAUUUAGAAAUAGAACCUUUAAAUUGAAAAAGUCUCAGUUAGAUCGAGAAUCAGCGAAAUUUGUAGUGUACAAACAUGUGAUUAA